AUGACGCAAAUGGCAGCCGUGGGUGUCUCUUCACCGCUCCUCCUCCUCUUCCUCCUCCUCCUUGCUGCCACCAGCGAGGCCACCACGUUCUACAUCACCAACGGGUGCCCCUACACCAUAUGGCCGGCGGCUCUCCCGAUUGGCGGCGGCAUGCAGCUCGACCCAGGCAAGCCCUGGACCCUCAACACGGGCGACACCAACACCACGCGCCUGUGGGCGCGCACGGGCUGCUCGUUCGACGGCAAUGGCACCGGGACCUGCCAGACGGGAGACUGCGGCGGCCUGCUCGCUUGCAAAGCCAAUGGCCGGCCGCCCAACACCAUCGCGGAGUUUCGGCUCGGCGGCUUCAGCAGCCAGGAUUUCUUCGACAUCUCCUUUGUCGAGGGCUUCAACGUGCCCAUGGACUUCCUGCCGGUGCCGGCCAAGGGCGGGCCAGGGUGCAGCAAGGGGCCGCGCUGCGGAGCCAACAUAACGGCGCAGUGCCCGACCAGUCUGAAGGCGCCGGGGGGCUGUAACAGCCCGUGCACGGUGUUCAAGCAGGACAGGUACUGCUGUACCAGGAGCGCGGCAAAUAACUGCAGCACCACGGACUACUCCGACUUCUUCAAGAAGAUGUGCCCAGAUGCCUACAGCUACCCCAUGGAUGAUGCAACCAGCACUUUCAGUUGCCCGGCCGGCACCAACUACAAGGUAGUCUUUUGUCCCUUGACCAAUCAAGCAACACCGCCGAGUGCUCUGCCUGCACCCCCGGCUGUGGUAACACCUAGUGGGCCAACAACCAUGAAACCAAAAUCCUCAACUGUAAGAACAGUUGUUGCAAUUUUAGCUCCUAUAGGCGGCUUCAUUUUUCUGUUCCUCGUCAUUUUCUAUUUUUGUAAACGAAGAACCCAACGACGGAGUGAGAUGCAGGAAGAGGAAGAGGAAGAGUUUGGGGAGCUACAAGGAACACCUAUGAGGUUCACAUUUGAACAGCUAAAAUCAGCAACGGAGCAAUUCGCAGACAAGCUCGGGGAAGGAGGAUUUGGGUCUGUUUUCAAGGGACAAUUUGGUGAUGAAAGGAUUGCAGUAAAACGUCUGGAUCGAUCUGGUCAGGGUAAAAGAGAAUUUUCGGCAGAGGUCCAGACAAUUGGCAGCAUUCAUCAUAUUAAUCUGGUGAGAUUGAUUGGUUUCUGUGCAGAGAAAUCCCACAGGCUCUUGGUAUAUGAGUACAUGCCCAAAGGAUCCUUGGACAGAUGGAUCUAUUGUCGACAUGACAAUGAUGCUCCUCCUCUAGAUUGGAGCACGCGGUGCAAAAUUAUAACUCAAAUAGCUAAGGGCCUCUCUUAUCUUCACGAGGAGUGCACAAAACGAAUUGCUCAUUUGGAUGUCAAACCACAAAAUAUCCUCUUAGAUGACAAUUUCAAUGCUAAACUUUCUGAUUUUGGAUUAUGCAAGCUCAUAGACAGGGAUAUGAGCCAAGUGGUUACCAGAAUGAGAGGCACACCUGGAUAUUUGGCUCCUGAAUGGUUGACAUCACAUAUCACGGAAAAGGCAGAUAUCUACAGCUUUGGUGUCGUGGUCAUGGAAAUCAUCAGCGGAAGAAAGAACCUCGACACUUCCCGGUCAGAAGAGAGCAUUCAUCUCAUCACCCUAUUGGAGGAAAAGGUGAAGAGUGAUCGGUUGGUAGAUUUGAUUGACAAUAGCAGCAACGACAUGCAAGCACACAAGCAAGAUGUAAUUCAGAUGAUGAUGCUUGCAAUGUGGUGCUUGCAGAUUGAUUGCAAAAAAAGGCCUAAAAUGUCUGAGGUGGUGAAAGUAUUGGAAGGUACCAUGAAAACGGACCUCAACAUAGAACAUAACUUUGUUGUAACAACUCCAGCAAAUUUUGGUAGCACAGGAAAUGUGAGCUCUUCAGCUCCACCUCUAGCCUCAGAUGUAUCAGGUCCCAGGUGA
rnacentral:rRNA from 1 species